rnacentral:rRNA from 1 species
AUUGAACGCUGGCGGCAGGCUUAACACAUGCAAGUCGAGCGGGGUGAUGGUGCUUGCACUAUCACUUAGCGGCGGACGGGUGAGUAAUGCUUAGGAAUCUGCCUAUUAGUGGGGGACAACAUCUCGAAAGGGAUGCUAAUACCGCAUACGUCCUACGGGGGAAAGCAGGGGAUCACUUGUGACCUUGCGCUAAUAGAUGAGCCUAAGUCGGAUGAGCUAGUUGGUGGGGUAAAGGCCUACCAAGGCGACGAUCUGUAGCGGGUCUGAGAGGAUGAUCCGCCACACUGGGACUGAGCCACGGCCCAGACUCCUACGGGAGGCAGCAGUGGGGAAUAUUGGACAAUGGGGGGAACCCUGAUCCAGCCAUGCCGCGUGUGUGAAGAAGGCCUUAUGGUUGUAAAGCACUUUAAGCGAGGAGGAGGCUCUUUUGGUUAAUACCCAGAAUGAGUGGACGUUACUCGCAGAAUAAGCACCGGCUAACUCUGUGCCAGCCGCCGCCGUAA